AACGCACAUUGCGCCCCUUGGUAUUCCGAGGGGCAUGCCUGUUCGAGCGUCAUUACACCACUCAAGCCUCGCUUGGUAUUGGGCGCCGCGCUUCGGCGCGCGCCUCAAUGUAUCCGGCUGAGUCUUUCGUCUCUAAGCGUUGUGGCACUUUAUGUUUCCGCCUCUGAGUACGAGAGGUCUCGCGCCGUUAAACACCCCAUUAAAGGUUGACCUCGGAUCAGGUAGGGAUACCCGCUGAACUUAA
rnacentral:misc_RNA from 1 species